GAGCGGUAACAGGCGUAGCAAUACGUGCUGACGAGCGGCGAACGGGUGAGUAACGCUUCGGAAUCUGCCCAAUGGUGGGGAAUAACCAGCCGAAAGGUUGGCUAAUACCGCAUGAGCCCUACGGGGGAAAGCGGGGGAUCGUAAGACCUCGCGCCGAUGGAUGAGCCGAAGCCGGAUUAGCUAGUUGGUAGGGUAACGGCCUACCAAGGCGACGAUCCGUAGCUGGUCUGAGAGGACGACCAGCCACACUGGGACUGAGACACGGCCCAGACUCCUACGGGAGGCAGCAGUGGGGAAUAUUGGACAAUGGGGGCAACCCUGAUCCAGCGACGCCGCGUGUGUGAAGAAGGCCUGCGGGUUGUAAA
rnacentral:rRNA from 1 species